CGAAUGAGAGCGGCAUCUGCUGCAAUUCGAGUGAGCCAAGCUGGCGAGAAAAGUGUCUAGCGAGAUCAACGGUGACCGUACCGCAAUCCGACACAGGUAGGCGGGUAGAGAAUACCAAGGUGAUCGGGAGAACCCUCGUUAAGGAACUCGGCAACAUGGCCCCGUAACUUCGGGAGAAGGGGCGCUUCGCGGCUGCUUGCUUGUCAAGUGGUCGAUCGAAGCCGCAGUGAAAUGGCCCAGGCGACUGUUUAGCAAAAACACAGGUCUCUGCGAAAGCGAAAGCUGACAUAUACGGGCUGACGCCUGCCCAGUGCUGGAAGGUUAAGAGGAGGGGUGCAAGCUCUGAAUCGAAGCCCCAGUAAACGGCGGCUGUAACUAUAACAGUCCUAAGGUAGCGAAAUUCCUUGUCGGGUAAGUUCCGACCCGCACGAAUGGCGUAACGAUCUGGGCGCUGUCUCAACGAGGGAUCCGGCGAAAUUGAAGUACCUGUGAAGAUGCAGGUUACCCGCGGCAGGGCAAAAAGACCCCGUGGAGCUUUACUGGCUGAGAAACUGGGGCGCUAGCCUCGGUGGAGCCAACGUUGAAAUACCACCCUUGCUGAAUUCCGUUUCUAACCGCGACCCGUAAUCCGGGCGCGGAACAGUGUCAGGCGGGCAGUUUGACUGGGGCGGUCGCCUCCUAAAGUGUAACGGAGGCGCCCAAAGGUUCCCUCAGGCUGAAUGGAAACCAGCCGAAGAGUGCAAAGGCAUAAGGGAGCUUGACUGCGAGACCUACAAGUCGAGCAGAGACGAAAGUCGGGCUUAGUGAUCUGGUACCUCCGAGUGGAAGGGGUAUCACUCAACGGAUAAAAGCUACCCCGGGGAUAACAGGCUGAUGGUGCCCAAGAGUUCACAUCGACGGCACCGUUUGGCACCUCGAUGUCGGCUCGUCGCAUCCUGGGGCGGAAGUACGUCCCAAGGGUUUGGCUGUUCGCCAAUUAAAGCGGCACGCGAGCUGGGUUCAGAACGUCGUGAGACAGUUCGGUCUCUAUCCGCCGUGGGCGUAGGGAACUUGAGAGGAGUUGCUCCUAGUACGAGAGGACCGGAGUGAACGAACCGCUGGUGUGCCAGUUGUCCCGCCAGGGGCACCGCUGGGUAGCUAUGUUCGGUCGGGAUAAGCGCUGAAAGCAUCUAAGUGCGAAGCUCGCCUCGAGAUGAGGUUCCCCACCGGGUCAACCGGGUAAGACCGCAGGGAGACCACCUGUUUGAUAGGCCGCAUGUGGAAGUCCGGUGACGGAUGAAGCUGAGCGGUACUAACGGUCGAGGGCUUGACCUC
rnacentral:rRNA from 1 species